CAGGUGUAUUCAGAGGGAGAAAGCCCUGUCUGAGAAGCUGAUCCAUCAUCUCCUCGUCAUCUGCUUGUAUUUCAGAGACCAUGUUACAAGGAAUAAGGCCAAGCCGGGCACAGGUUUCUCCACGGUAGAAUCCAUCAGCGUCUUUAUCACCAUAAACCUAGAGUCGUGGGGAAAAAUAAAUCAAGCAUUGUAAUUGAUUGGUUCAGAAAUACAGUAGUCCCACUGACGGUGGUAUCCGAGUUCAACAGAAUGUGAAGCGUUCCGUGGCCUCUACAGCGGGCACAACUGUGCAGCCCUUUCUCGCACCCAGGGAUGAUGGUGGAGAACAGCUGUGGCUGCGCGAGAAGGAUGUGCUUUCCAUUCUGCUGGAGGAACUUAAUGACCAUGUCAGUGUGAUCUAGUGAAUGCAGUUCCAGGAACAGCCCUCACUCACCCUCUACCCGAAGAGCAUGAAGGACUCCUGACUGGUCUCUCCUUCGAGGGGGCUUGGCUGACCACCCAGAUUCGGGGGCACAUGAGCUAAUAUUGGAGCGAAUAAGGACAUCAAAAACAAACCAUCUUUAGAGUAAAGGCAUGGCAACCCCGGGCACUUUCCAAGGCAGGCGGGAUGAGUGAACCAGGCCAGUGGGGGCCGAACACCUGCUGUGCCCACCAGGGACCCAGCUCUGGCACAGCUUCUCACUGCCACGUGGGAACGUGCAUGCUGAGUGGCCAGAUCUCUGUACCACAUCUUGUAAUUUCUAAAGAGAAUCCAGAAAUCCAGACCUGCCUACACAAUUUUUUUUUUUUUUUUUGAG